rnacentral:misc_RNA from 1 species
AACUUUCGACAAUGGAUCUCUUGGCUCUCGCAUCGAUGAAGAACGCAGCGAAAUGUGAUAAGUAAUGUGAAUUGCAGAUUUUCAGUGAAUCAUCGAAUCUUUGAACGCACCUUGCGCUCCUUGGUAUUCCGAGGAGCAUGCCUGUUUGAGUGUCAUUAAAUUCUCAACUUCACCGAUUUGCUUUGUGUGAAGCUUGGAUUUGGAGCGUGCUGGACCCUUGUUCUUGGGUCAGCUCCUCUUUAAAUACAGCAGCGGAGUCUUCUUUGACUUUUGCGGUGUCGGUGUGAUAAUUAUGUUAUGCUGUUUUGGCCCCGUGGGUCUCAGUCCGCUUAUAAUUGUCUUUGGACAACCUAUGUAAUGUUUGACCUCAAAUCAGGUAGGACUACCCGCUGAACUUAAGCAUAUCAAUAAGCGGAGGCU